GACGAACGCUGGCGGCGUGCUUAACACAUGCAAGUCGAACGGAAAGGCCCAGCUUGCUGGGUGCUCGAGUGGCGAACGGGUGAGUAACACGUGGGUGAUCUGCCUCUAACUUCGGGAUAAGCUUGGGAAACUGGGUCUAAUACCGGAUAGGACAAUCGUUUAGUGUCGGUUGUGGAAAGUUUUUUCGGUUAGGGAUGAGCCCGCGGCCUAUCAGCUUGUUGGUGGGGUAAUGGCCUACCAAGGCGUCGACGGGUAGCCGGCCUGGGAGGGUGGACGGCCACAUUGGGACUGAGAUACGGCCCAGACUCCUACGGGAGGCAGCAGUGGGGAAUAUUGCACAAUGGGCGCAAGCCUGAUGCAGCGACGCCGCGUGGGGGAUGACGGCCUUCGGGUUGUAAACCUCUUUCGACAGGGACGAAGCUUUGGUGACGGUACCUGUAUAAGAAGCACCGGCUAACUACGUG
rnacentral:rRNA from 1 species